UGCCCAUGCAGCCAAGCCUCUAUGGAUCUCACCAGCUGACGAUGCCACAGCAGCCUCUGAUUUUUCCACCUUAUGGAUACUUAUCUAUGUUCUCCUCACCCUAUGGGAAUCAGCUGUUCACCCCGUAUGGUUACCCAAUG